UCCUGGUUAGUUCAGUUGGUAGAGUGCUCCACUGAAAAUAGAGAGGUCCCUGGUUCGAUACCUGGAUCAGGCG
rnacentral:tRNA from 1 species